CUGCCCCACGGGCUGCAACCUGAGCUGCAGCACCUCCCAUCUGCACAGCUCGUUACAUUCCUCGCUGCCUGCAUGGCCCCGCUGCCAGAUGUCCGCGAGGAAGCCCGUGCAAGCUGCGACUGGAAACGGGCUCCGUGCUUUCAUCCUGCAUCCUCCCGGGGAGAGGCGCUGGGGCUGGGGUUGCUUUGCUCGGCUGCUGCUGGUGAUUCCCGCUGCUGCUUGCUUGCCCUCUCCUUUGGGGUGUUUUUUGCUGAGCAGAGAGCCCGGCUGGGUGAUGUGGGGAAAUGUGGGGUGUGGGAGAAGGAGCAGCCAACGUGGUGCCUGCAAAGUGCUGCCCUGCCAAAACUCAGCGGUGAACACGGAGCUAUCCCCGCUCCUGCUGACCCCUGCCAGCAAGCAAGGAGCCAUCACUGGAGGUCACACAGGGGCUCUGCAAGCCCCAAAUGAGCCAAAAAUGUGGAAACCCAUGAGCACAACCGUCUUUUAAAAUUUUGCCUCUUCUCCUCCACGUCAUCCUGAUCCUGGUUAUCUCAGCUGAACAGAGAGCUGGGAUCCCUCCCAGGUAACUGUCUUUUGGCCUCCUUCAUGGUGGUUGGAGUCCCAGAUCCUGCCAGCCUGACCAAACACUGCUCAGAUCACCCCCUUGCUCCAAAAAGCGAGGUGAGCCCCUGCAAACAGGAGAGGUUCUCGUAAACACCCCAGUGAGGGACUUGGCUCCACGCAGACACAACAACAAACGUUGGCUUCCACUUCAAAAGCCUCACAGUUUAAAAAGCAGCUAUGAUGCAACCUCACAUGUAUGUGAGCAUGUAGGGCAAUACCUGGUUGCUAGUAGGAGGCUGCAGUUUGGGUCUGUUGGCCCAAAAUACUUGGAAUAAUUGGUGGUGCCAGGUCCAGGGCAGCCACACGCCCCAGGGGACACUGACAGCGCAGCCAUGGUCAGCAAGUGUCUGGGGGCAUCUCUCCUGGGGAUGUUUUUCUGUCCCCUGUGAUUUAGACAGCAGCCAGGGAAAUAUCUGGGUGCCUGGCACCCAGGAAGCAGAAGAUCUGGAAAGGGCACCCAUCAGCUCUGGUGCCUUUGGUUGGGCAAGCACAAGGUGAAUUUUGGACAAGGUGAUAUCUUGUGUCAGACCAAUGGAUGAAGCAAGAAGGCCGCACUCCCUGAAAGCACUUUUAUUGUGUUUGUGCAGCUCAGACCGCAGCAUGGAUUUCGGGGAAGAUCAUUUUGGGUCCCUGUGGUGACACAGGAGACUGGGAACUGCUUGGAAGAGAGGGCAUACAAACAUCUUCCUGUCCAGUGUUAUGCUCCCCAGGCAGUUUUGGGGCUACAGGAGGUUGGAAACACUCUGACAUGGUUGCAAAAGUGGGGAGCCUGGGGAGAGAGCUUGCCACGAGCUGUUCCCCUCGCACUGGGAGCUGGCAGGAAGGGCACAGCUUUGUCCCAUUGUAGCUCAGUCAUGGGAUUAAGAAAGCUCUUUAAUCAUUGUUUGUUACACACACACAACGGCAUGCUCAGAGUGAAAGUGCAGAGGGAGCCAGCACCUGGCAAAGCCAUUAUUGGUCACUCCAAUUUAUUUCUAGACUGAUGCUGAAAAAAAGAAAAAAAAGCAAUCCCCUGCCAAGAGAAGAUCUCAGCCCGCACAGUCGGAGAGGUUUGUGGGCUGUGAUGGAGGUGCACAGAGGGAUGCAAGGUGUGGAUGGGGCAGGGGGACACCCCCUUCUGCCCCAUUGGAGCUGUCCCCAGGCAGCUGCCUGCUUGCAAGACACGGCCACCACUCGCCCCCUCAGCCUCCACCCAGGUCCAGGGUCCCCACCUCUUAAUUCCAGACAUCUCACAAAUAAGGCCGGUCGCAAUAAAAGCUUAUCAACCCAUAAAACGCACCCUCCCGAGCACAUAUUCCCAGGACAAGGCUGUGAUAAGGGGUUCAAACACAGGAAACGGGAGGGAGAGCACAAUAACAACGGCACUUUAGGGAGGCCCUACAUAAACAAUGACCCGUCUGUGUGCUAAGCAAGAGGGCAGACGGCACCCAGCUCUAUGGUGGCAUUGCACAGGCAUCUGCAGGGUGUGAUGGAGGUGGCUCAGCCCCAUCCGAGCUGCUGGCCCUGCAAGGAUUCAUCCCAGGCCACAAUCGGUGGUGAUGGAGCUGCUGGAGCUUGGGGCUGAGCGAGCAGGGAGGUUUACCUGAGGGCAUCACAUCUGGUAGAGUCCAGUAGCACUAUUUAAUUUUAUUUUAUUUUUUGUAAUUUAAUUUGGAAUAACGCGUACUGCAAAGCCUGGUAAACGUUAUUCAAAUAUUUGUGAAGUCAGGGUGUGCUCCAGUCUGCCAGCAGCUCCCUCGUGUCCUUUCUUUGAGCUAGGAAGGAUCAACCCAUCUGAAAGGAAAAUACUUCAGUGACAUGUUUACUUUCUUCACAGCUUGUUUUCUCGCCUGGAUGGGAAAGCCUGAGGCCAUCGGCGGGGUUCACAGCCCUCCAGCCUGCUGCAGGCUGGCAGGUGGCGGCACCCGCUGCAGCAUGCCAGAGCCCCUCGCCCUGUCUCCCAAAUGCUCCAUGGACAAAUUAAAGUUUUCAUGGUUGCUCGUGCAGGGGUAAAGGGUCCCAGCUUAAAUCCAUCAGGAUGCUAUCCUACAGCCACAGUAAAUAAAACCUCCAUCCUUGCCUCCCCAAAGCCAAGGCGGGUCGUUGUCCCUAUGGCUGCUGCGUGGUACCAGGGACAUGGGCAUAAUUGCUGCAGCCACAGACCUGGGACUCUGGCAAGCCUGGAUUACCUCUGAGAGACCACUGAAAAGUUUUUAGGGAUUGUCCCACUAAAAUGAGGCUAAAACUCACGGUUCUGCCAUGGCUUUCAUACCCUUUGCUCCCCAAGACAAAGGUUGUCCUGUUCUAUAAAUGCAUCUUCCCUUUUCAUUCCUAGAUGUAGGACUCUACGUGGUUGUACUAAGUAAAGGUGCUUUAGGGUUGUACCAAGCUGAGCAGUCUGGCUUACCCUGUAAGAACCAUUUAUAAAUAAUAUUUAAAUGGUUUUAUUUUCUCCACCAAACAAGUAAAACUUGGGAGGCUCAGGAAUUGAUUUUCAUCCAACCCCACCGGAAAAGUGGCUGCGUGACCACAACUCCCCAUGGCAGCAGCAUUUUGCAGCCCACAGGCAGCCACUUUUGACCUCCUAUGAGGUAUGCCAUGGUGGUUUUAUAUCAAUAAAGUUUAUCAAUCUGUAUAUCAAACUGAGCAGUAGACUCCACUCCAGCUCCAUUUGUGCUGUGGCCAGACGCCAAAGCAAAUCACUUGAGCAGGCCGACUGCAUUGACAGUAUCAUCUUUAUCAGCCCAAAUGCAAGCCCUGUAGAAAUGAAGAAGUUAGUAGAGAUCUGUUUUCAUCAUCUUCUGGGAUUGGCAUCAGUUACACUCUCCCUUUAAUUAACUUCACUUUGCUUUCUCUAAAAGCCAUCUCAGUAUUUCAGCCGUGAUGGCUGUCAAGCUGGCAGGCUCCAAAUAACCCAGGGGGCCCGGUUGCCCUUUCCAAAAUAGUGGCUUCUUUCUAGAUCUCCUCCCAGCCUGCCACGGAGGAGAAAAUUUUGGGUCUGGAAGACCAAAACACCCACGCUGCCCUUUAACAGCACAGUGCCACAUCCAUUCCCAAAGGCAAUGGGCACCAGUGAGCGCUGGUGGGACCUUCUCCAGAGAGCUUCUCCAGUCCUACCUAGUCCCCAGGGAGGAGGACCUGGGGACAAGCGGUGGUUUUGUAGUGUGGACAAACAUCUCCCGGGUUCUCUUUGGGAUUUUUCCAACUUUUCCUUUGUGAGUGGGGUGAGGAUUUGACCCCAAGCCUUCCCAAGUGCCGCUCUCGAGCAUUAAUCCAACAGGGUGCCUCCAUUUCCAUGACCCCAUUUCCACCCUCAGCGUUACAAUCCACUCUAGCUCCAUGAGCUGUUCCAGAUGUUUUGGAAACCCCUUGCAGUUUGGUAAAAGCUCUUGGAAAAAAAAAAAAAAAAAAAAAAAAAA